rnacentral:rRNA from 1 species
AACGAACGCUGGCGGCAGGCCUAACACAUGCAAGUCGAGCGCCCAGCAAUGGGAGCGGCAGACGGGUGAGUAACACGUGGGAACCUUCCCUAUAGUACGGAAUAGCCCAGGGAAACUUGGAGUAAUACCGCAUACGCCCGAGAGGGGAAAGAUUUAUCGCUAUAGGAUGGGCCCGCGUAGGAUUAGCUAGUUGGUGAGGUAAUGGCUCACCAAGGCGACGAUCCUUAGCUGGUCUGAGAGGACGACCAGCCACACUGGGACUGAGACACGGCCCAGACUCCUACGGGAGGCAGCAGUGGGGAAUAUUGGACAAUGGGCGCAAGCCUGAUCCAGCCAUGCCGCGUGUGUGAAGAAGGCCUUAGGGUUGUAAAGCACUUUCGUCUGUGAAGAUAAUGACAGUAGCAGAAGAAGAAGCUCCGGCUAAAUUCGUGCCAGCAGCCGCGGUAAU